AAAAAGGUAAGCUAAUCCUAAGCUGUUGGGUUCAUACCCCAAACAUGAAGGUUUGAGAGUUCUUUCCCUUUUUG
rnacentral:tRNA from 1 species